UUCGGGGGUACUCGAGUGGCGAACGGGUGAGUAACACGUGGGCAAUCUGCCCUGCACUUCGGGAUAAGCCUGGGAAACUGGGUCUAAUACCGGAUAGGACCUUUAGACGCAUGUCUUUUGGUGGAAAGCUUUUGCGGUGUGGGAUGGGCCCGCGGCCUAUCAGCUUGUUGGUGGGGUGACGGCCUACCAAGGCGACGACGGGUAGCCGGCCUGAGAGGGUGUCCGGCCACACUGGGACUGAGAUACGGCCCAGACUCCUACGGGAGGCAGCAGUGGGGAAUAUUGCACAAUGGGCGCAAGCCUGAUGCAGCGACGCCGCGUGGGGGAUGACGGCCUUCGGGUUGUAAACCUCUUUCACCAUCGACGAAAGUUCGGGUUUUCUCGGAUUGACGGUAGGUGGAGAAGAAGCACCGGCCAACUACGUGCCAGCAGCCGCGGUAAUACGUAGGGUGCGAGCGUUGUCCGGAAUUACUGGGCGUAAAGAGCUCGUAGGUGGUUUGUCGCGUUGUUCGUGAAAUCUCACGGCUUAACUGUGAGCGUGCGGGCGAUACGGGCAGACUAGAGUACUGCAGGGGAGACUGGAAUUCCUGGUGUAGCGGUGGAAUGCGCAGAUAUCAGGAGGAACACCGGUGGCGAAGGCGGGUCUCUGGGCAGUAACUGACGCUGAGGAGCGAAAGCGUGGGGAGCGAACAGGAUUAGAUACCCUGGUAGUCCACGCCGUAAACGGUGGGUACUAGGUGUGGGUUUCCUUCCUUGGGAUCCGUGCCGUAGCUAACGCAUUAAGUACCCCGCCUGGGGAGUACGGCCGCAAGGCUAAAACUCAAAAGAAUUGACGGGGGCCCGCACAAGCGGCGGAGCAUGUGGAUUAAUUCGAUGCAACGCGAGAACCUUACCUGGGUUUGACAUGCACAGGACGCGUCUAGAGAUAGGCGUUCCCUUGUGGCCUGUGUGCAGGUGGUGCAUGGCUGUCGUCAGCUCGUGUCGUGAGAUGUUGGGUUAAGUCCCGCAACGAGCGCAACCCUUGUCUCAUGUUGCCAGCGGGUAAUGCCGGGGACUCGUGAGAGACUGCCGGGGUCAACUCGGAGGAAGGUGGGGAUGACGUCAAGUCAUCAUGCCCCUUAUGUCCAGGGCUUCACACAUGCUACAAUGGCCGGUACAAAGGGCUGCGAUGCCGCAAGGUUAAGCGAAUCCUUUUAAAGCCGGUCUCAGUUCGGAUUGGGGUCUGCAACUCGACCCCAUGAAGUCGGAGUCGCUAGUAAUCGCAGAUCAGCAACGCUGCGGUGAAUACG
rnacentral:rRNA from 1 species